UUUAAUCCCAACUUUACUCAUAAACAUUAACCCCUCCUCGUUUCGCCUCUGCAUCCCUUUUAAUACAUCUAUAUAAAAAAAAAUCGAGGCGAUGAAAACAAAAAGAUACAGCCAGACGAUAUUGCGCUAGUGGGGAAAUUUACGAGUAAAUAAACGCCAGUCAUAUUUGAUGAUAAAAUUUAAUAAAGGUCCACACGGUCAGAUACAGACCAUGUUCCACAAUUAGUUGCGAGGCCGGAAAUUUAUCGAAAACGCGAGAAGAAUAAGAAAAAUUUGUUUCUGCAAUCAGUUUAUACCGUAAUUCAAGCAUUCCGUCAUCGAAUCAAAUUCGACGCUAUUGAUACCAAUCAAUAAUGUGCUAUUGAAUUUCCCCAUUGCAGUAUAGCUGAAUAAAUAAUAGUCCGUAAACUGUCCGCGAUCGUUCUGCACACAAACGAAAUUGGACAACACAAAUAAAAUUAGUAAUUAAUAAUCGACCUUCGUAAAAAAUCCCAAACAAGAGUUUAACGAAGAAGUUCACAAUAAAUAAAUACAAUGGCUACAAUUAAUUGGUAGUGUAAUAAAUUUCGUAUGAUUUUGUUACGCCGCCUAAAACAUCUGCACGCCAGCCCGCGCGACCGGACAACAACCGGCCUGCGUAACGUCACUUCGACCCUCAAUAAACCUAAGGACCCACCAUAACUUUCACUUCCCUGUAUUGUUUCGCCAUGUGUCUUCAAUCCGUUUGUCUUGAAGAAUUUCUAAAGCUUAAAAAUAUUCUCCAAACACAUCGGUUUUUAGAGAGGUCCUUGGGUUUAUUAGGCGCACUUAAAACACGGAGAAAGCGGGUAUGCACCCAUUAGGAAAAUCCGAAUAGCCCUCUAAUAAAACAAGCUAGGUUUUCCUCACGAACACGGUCAUCUAUCCACCACGAUGGUAGGAGACUUCCUACUCAUCCCUUCGAGCAGUAGUGCAGGUCAUGAUCAAUCGACACCGCGGUUCGUUACCCUCACUUUUCCUAACGAAAGUGGGAACGACGAAUCCGCGUUCUUUAGGCACAGGGGCACACCCACACCGAACUUUUCUUCCGUAUUAGAAAAAGAGCGACAGUCAAUCUAAAAACUAACGCCUAUCGCGGCAGUCUACACAUAGCGCGAGAGUCGCAUACUUUACGCAAAUCUUUGUCGGUUCUCGGUGUUGUCGAACAUACAUCUCCUCUCCUAAAUAUAUUAUAGUGCUACGUCCACUAAUACAUUAACUUUCACUAUAAGAGCCCUACUCUAGCGCACAUAUCUAUCUCAUCCUUGUGCGACAAGUUGUUAUCUAUUUAUCUUUCCUCGACAGUGUAAUCUAAGUGUUGGAAAUAUAUAAUUUAUAAUUCUGUGAA